GCAGCACCCCCGUGUACUGACUCUCAAUGGAAUCUCCAACUUCAAGGACUCCACCAAAGAAAACUUGGAUCUCUUCUCCAAAUGUCGCUGCAGCUCCAUUUCCUCCUCCAAUGAGUCUAAUGGUACGUCGUACCACUCUCCCUAUAACAUCUUAAAAGUGUAUGUAUACUAAUUUGUGUUUACCUUAUGAGUUAUAAAUUUUGUAAUGUGAUGAACUGAUCAUCAAUAGGUUGGAAUUCAUUAUUAUUGAUUCUCAAAUUUGCUUCCAGUUUAUCCUUUUAUGUUUUAAUUAGUAGUUACAUAUUUUUUCCUUUUUACCGGAGAACUUGCAAGUUUAGAAUCGGUGACAUUGGGGGAACCGUCAACUAGGUCAGCAGAACUGGGGAAGAGUGGAUUGGACAAUCUAUUAUCAUCAACUGAUGGUGGAAAGUAUGAUUACGAUUGGUAAUAUCUGAAUAAAUUUCGCUUGUUAUAAAAUGAUGUGUCCAUUUUAAUCUGACAGAGAAUUGUAAGCGCGCAGCCAACAUAAAGCCUUUUUGCUCCCUAUAUUUUAUGGUAGAAACUAGGAAAAUCUUCUCUUGGAAUUAAAUUUUUUGAAUAGCCAAUUAGUUCUAGAUUAAACUCCCUUCCCACGAGGUGGUGCGUAUUCUAAUUAUCGACAAUCAAUAAGUAUAAGGGUGAGUAUCUUGGAUUAUGGGUUAUUGCAGGCAGAAUUCACACUUUGCUAUAGUUCUAAAAUUUAAAAGUCUAAGAGUUGAGCAAAAUAAUUUAGCAGAUUAUCAAAAUAGUCAGUUUUUAAUAAUCAAUUCCAGUACUCAUACUCUAAUAAUCUCCUGUUGUAGCCAACAAAGUCAUGUUAUGGAAAAACAAAACUUUUCAUAGUUGGCGAGAACCAUCACAUAUCUAGGACCUUAUACUUACAGCCCUUAUGUUUGAUAGGCUUCUUAUUCUUGGAACUCCAGUGGUUCCUUCAUUGGAUGGAUAUGAAUCUCGACCAGGUAUUGGGAAUGCGAGAAGCAGUACAUUGGUCAGAUAAAUAUCUACAACAAAAUCUUUAAGGGUACGUCAACCUUUUAUUUCUAGUUGAGUAGGAGCAUUGGUUACAUAUUUCUCUUUGCUGCAUGAUAUUAGCUGGGCUCAUUUUCAUGCCAUAUAAAAAAUACAUUUAGUUGUAACCGUGUUAUGCUCACUUGUUUUAUGAAAAUCUUGCAUUUUUGUUGUUUUAUUUGUCUUUAUUAAGUGAACAAGAUACGUAAUCAACUACUAAACAUUCUCUUGAACAUAACAACUAUCACCUUCCUAUCCUAUUUGUCCGAAAUCACUUUUUAGAAAACAAUUCCAAUUUUAGCUGUCUCAGUCAAACAGCAACCGUCCUAUAUGAUCAACUCGAAGCAGUUCAGCGACUCGACCAUCCAUCUCCAACAAAUCAACCUUUAUUCUAAACACAAGCUCUUCUUCAGUUACAUCUUAUAUAAGACCAUCCACUCCCAGUCGCUCUUCAUCAACUACAACUAUUAGAUUUCGUGCCCCCAAAUUAGGGUUAUUUUUGGAAAAUAUUGUUUCAUUAUUUUCACGUGAUUUUAUUGAAAAAUAUUGUUUCCUUAUUUUCAAAUGAUUUUAUUGGAAAAAUAUUAUUUCCUUUAAUCCACAUUGUCUUUUAUAUUAUUUCCAUCUUCAUGAUAUUUUUAGGGUUUGGUAUGUCUCUAUAAAUAUGUGGCUUUUCAUUUAGUUUAAGUGAAACUUUAUUGUUGAAUUCUAGUAUUCUCUCCACAUAUUGUCUUUAAUAAAACAUCGAUUCCUCUACUUAUCUCUCUUCAGUUUCUUUACUUUAAUCUUGUUUUCUUCGUUGUGAUCAUAUAUAUUUCAUAUUGUCCAUUAAUUAAAAUUCUUGCAUCGCCUUCGGGUUCAACAAGUGGUAUCAAAGCUAGGCGACAAGUUCUUUAUGAUUUGAUUGGGAUUUUUCAGAUAUGACUACAUUGAAGUAUGAUAUUCCGCUACUGGAUCGCAUUACAAGAUUUUCAUUGUGGUAAGUAAAGAUCAGGGUUGUGUUGGCACAGAUGGAUGUAGACGAUGCUUUGUUGACUUUUGAUAAAAUGCCAGCAAAAUGUACAACGAAGGAUUCGGUUUAAGAACCGUCGGGUUCGGUUCGGGAGAUUUGCCCAGCCCUAUAUUUAAUGACAUGAUGUAUUUAAAUAAACAUCAUAUGGCUUUUAUAUAAAUUGUGGAAGCAUCCUUAUGAAGUUUAUUGACCAAUUCAACAAAUUUGAACAACGCUCAAUUAUAUAAAUAUGAAGACUCUCUGCAUAUGUGUGGGGUAAUUUAAUGAAUAGUCACUCAACAUUAUUAUAGGUUACUAUUUGCUCAAUGAUAUCCAAAAAGGUAUUCGUUGCUCAAUGAGCUUUGCUAUAUGUUACUAUUUACAAUGAAAUUGCAAGUGGAGGGUAAAGUUUUGGAUGACUACUACUUGUUUUUGUCUGGAAAUUAUGGGAAUUCUUGCAUUGAUAUUCGUUCCACUUGAUUGGUUUUUUCUGAGUGAUUAAGAUGUAUUUGGUGGAGAGUAGAGGGGGAUGUUAAGGCACAUGGCCUGCGAUUUUGAUAAUCCUGGAGACGCUUGGUUGGAUUCACCCUCGAUCGAAUUCAAUAUUCUUCACAAUUGGAAUGAACUCUAGUUCAAUUUUGUUGGGUGGCUUUUGGCUCCUAGAGGAAAUUCACUAAAGCGAGUGGA
rnacentral:lncRNA from 1 species